AGAGUAGCUCAGUGGUAGAGCAGGAGACUCAUAAGCUCUUGGUCGGUGGUUCAAAUCCGCCCUCUG
rnacentral:tRNA from 1 species